GUACUUUUGUAUCACGGUGAGAACAGCAGAAAAGAAAUAAAGAGAAAAUAAGGACACGACAAGGGCCCUUGGCUAUUGGCCAUUGCCGGUUGCCACUGCCAGUUGACACCGGCGGCCUUCAAUCACGGCGAGCAGCCCAGCCGGCCAGUCGUCGCGCCUCCUGAUCAUAGCUCAAUGGUACGUGUCAGUCUCUGCUACCGCUGUUCCUGAGGCCGGCGGCGCGGUUCCUGGGGCCGUUCCUGGCGGGCCGGCCGGCGGAGGCGGCGGCCACGCUGCUGCACCGCGCCGGCGUGCUCCCGAUGAACAGGGCUCUGGAGCGGCUCGUCAGGGACGACGGCGGCGCCGAGGACUGCAUCGCGCGUCUCGUCGUCAGCGUGCUCAGCUGCCUCCGCUAGGGAACCGGUUUAGCAUGUUGAUACACUGUGGUUUGGGGAUUGAUGUUCUCCACUACUACUACAGGUUUAGCAUGAAGGACUGAAGCUAGCGAGGGAAACAGGAUGCCAUAAUGUGAUAGUAAGAUCGGACAAUAUCACGGUGGUGGAGGCACUCAAAUUCAAUGGUGGCUACUCCAUGGUGGCAGCACCGUUAUUUGAUGAAUGUCGUAGUUUUCUCGAAGACUUUAGGAGGUUUACUAUCGAGCAUUGUAUUAGAGAGUUAAAUAGCGUAGCUCAUGAGCUAGCAAGAUGGGGUAGUGCUAUUAAUCCAUCUCGCUGGAUUGACGCCCCGCCUGAUUUCAUUGUAAAUCUUUUGGCAGACGAUGUUUCUAUUCUUUGAUUAAUAAAGUAAACUUUCCUGUAAAAAAACAGGUUU